GGCUGUGAGCUUUAUGGAAUAAUUCCAUGAGUUGCUUUUUACUAGAUAAGGACAUUCCCUGGUGUCAUAGCUAUUUUGCAAGCCUACAGUUGCCUUCUAUGACCCUGAAAUUUCUCCGGCCAUUUCAACAGGAGAGGAUACUUUUAUUCUUUUUCCCAUGACUGCAGCGUGGUGCUGCUAGCACUAGUGCAGCUGCAUUUUGCCCUAGAGACAGCUAUGUUUCACUUGGGGAUGGCCAGGCCUUUGAAAGGGAAUGCAUUAAUUCUAACAAUAUGGUAAAUCACUGAAAUUUUUUCUGCAUUUCAUUUCUCUUGAAAGAACUGAGACAUGGACAAGCUUCUAGCAAGUACCAUCCUCAUCAAACAAGCAAAUCUGCUAAGUCCAAACAGAUUUGGGCAGAGAAAUGUUUAAUAAAGAACUCACUUCCAGUAAGGCUGGUGAAGAAACCAUGGUAAUUCAAGGAAAGGAAAGCAAUGGAUUAAAAAAAGAAUAAUCAGGCUAAUGAAUAUCUGAACUUUAAAGGUUUGAGAUUGAAGAAGAUGAUUGGCUGGACCAUUACUGAAGAUUAAGGCUCUAUUGUAGCCAAAUCAAGGAAAGAGCAUUUUAAAGCCAAUUACAAUUCCUGAGACCUUUAAAUAUUAUUCUGAGGUAAAAAAUCCUGAAUGAUGUUGUACUCAAUGCCCAUCCAAGUUCUGGGGUUUGAAAACUGCUUAUGAUCUCUUGUAGCCAAUACCCUGGCAAACAUGGAACACAAAUGGAGCAAGAUGAGGGUUUUUAUCUGUGGUUUACAUACAAACUCCACUGCGGAAGCAGCAGGCAAAGCCAAGAGUAGAAAACUGGCCAAAGGAAGAGCAUGUUCAGUUCUGCAGCAUGGCUGGUUUAAAAGGCAAGCUGAUACCAACUGAGAGGCUAAGCUAGAAAACCUGAGUUUUUCCAAACUGAUAAGGAAUGUGGAAAGACUGUUAAAUUUAUUCGUUUUUUGGGUAGAGGCUCUUCAAAGUUUGGGUUUUUUUUUUUAAUGAAGAAAUGUCUGAAAUACCAGUGCUGAAUUUCUCCCAAUAUGAAUUUAAAAAUGUUUUUCCUGUAAUAUGUCGUUUGUUGAUGUGACCAGUGAAAUCCACCGUGACCCAGAAAUUUAAAAUUUUCUAUCAGCUGCACUUUAAAUACAUUCUUCUUUCUGAAGCAUGCUAAUGAAAAUGUUGUCCUGAGUACAAAACAGAGCAGUGUACUCAAAAUCAUUAUUCACCCUACUUGACAACAGAAGCACUCAGCUUCUUUGGGCUGGAAUGCAUUAAAGGGGGAAAAAACAUUCAAUGAAUUAUGCUUUUUUCAGCUGUAACACUGAAAACUCUGCUGUCUUAUGUUUGGUUCAUAAAGCUGCUUUGCUUCAUGCCUUUUUCAGACUGA